CAGCCGCCGCGGUAAUACGAAGGGUGCAAGCGUUACUCGGAAUUACUGGGCGUAAAGCGUGCGUAGAUGGUGGUUUAAGUCCGUUGUGAAAGCCCUGGGCUCAACCUGGGAAUUGCAGUGGAUACUGGGUCACUAGAGUGUGGUAGAGGAUAGUGGAAUUUCCGGUGUAGCAGUGAAAUGCGUAGAGAUCGGAAGGAACAUCUGUGGCGAAGGCGACUAUCUGGGCCAACACUGACACUGAGGCACGAAAGCGUGGGGAGCAAACAGGAUUAGAUACCCCAGUAGUCCCUGUCUCUUAUAC
rnacentral:rRNA from 1 species